GACGAACGCUGGCGGCGCGCUUAACACAUGCAAGUCGAGCGAUGAAAUCUUGACAGAACCCUUCGGGGUGAAGAUAAGACGGAUUAGCGGCGGACGGGUGAGUAACACGUGAGUAACCUGCCUUUUACACAGGGAUAGCCUCGGGAAACCGGGAUUAAAACCUGAUGAAACUAUCAAAUCACAUGAUUAAGAAAGUUAAAACUCCGGUGGUAAAAGAUGGACUCGCGUCCCAUUAGCUAGUUGGUGAAGGUAACGGCCCACCAAGGCAACGAUGGGUAGCCGGCCUGAGAGGGUGAACGGCCACAUUGGAACUGAGAAACGGUCCAAACUCCUACGGGAGGCAGCAGUGGGGAAUAUUGCACAAUGGGGGAAACCCUGAUGCAGCGACGCCGCGUGAGCGAAGAAGGCCUUCGGGUCGUAAAGCUCUUUUAUAUGGGA
rnacentral:rRNA from 1 species